rnacentral:rRNA from 1 species
GGGGGGUCUAACUGCAAGUCGAGCGAGCUUGCCUAGAUGAUUUUAGUGCUUGCACUAAAUGAAACUAGAUACAAGCGAGCGGCGGACGAGUGAGUAACACGUGGGUAACCUGCCCAAGAGACUGGGAUAACACCUGGAAACAGAUGCUAAUACCGGAUAACAACACUAGACGCAUGUCUAGAGUUUGAAAGAUGGUUCUGCUAUCACUCUUGGAUGGACCUGCGGUGCAUUAGCUAGUUGGUAAGGUAACGGCUUACCAAGGCAAUGAUGCAUAGCCGAGUUGAGAGACUGAUCGGCCACAUUGGGACUGAGACACGGCCCAAACUCCUACGGGAGGCAGCAGUAGGGAAUCUUCCACAAUGGACGAAAGUCUGAUGGAGCAACGCCGCGUGAGUGAAGAAGGGUUUCGGCUCGUAAAGCUCUGUUGGUAGUGAAGAAAGAUAGAGGUAGUAACUGGCCUUUAUUUGACGGUAAUUACUUAGAAAGUCACGGCUAACUACGUGCCAGCAGCCGCGGUAAUACGUAGGUGGCAAGCGUUGUCCGGAUUUAUUGGGCGUAAAGCGAGUGCAGGCGGUUCAAUAAGUCUGAUGUGAAAGCCUUCGGCUCAACCGGAGAAUUGCAUCAGAAACUGUUGAACUUGAGUGCAGAAGAGGAGAGUGGAACUCCAUGUGUAGCGGUGGAAUGCGUAGAUAUAUGGAAGAACACCAGUGGCGAAGGCGGCUCUCUGGUCUGCAACUGACGCUGAGGCUCGAAAGCAUGGGUAGCGAACAGGAUUAGAUACCCUGGUAGUCCAUGCCGUA